AAGAAAGUUUAAAGAACUGCUAACUCUUUACCCCAUAAUUAACCACUAUGGCUUUCUUA
rnacentral:tRNA from 1 species